UACGUAGGGUGCAAGCGUUAAUCGGAAUUACUGGGCGUAAAGCGUGCGCAGGCGGUUUUGUAAGUCUGUCGUGAAAUCCCCCGGGCUCAACCUGGGAAUUGCGAUGGAGACUGCAAGGCUAGAAUCUGGCAGAGGGGGGUAGAAUUCCACGUGUAGCAGUGAAAUGCGUAGAGAUGUGGAGGAACACCGAUGGCGAAAGCAAUCCCCUGGACCUGUACUGACGCUCAUGCACGAAAGCGUGGGGAGCAAACAGG
rnacentral:rRNA from 1 species